ACCAAUACCACUGUUGGCAUCUGGAGGCUGCACCUGUCAUGAGUUAUGGCCCUUGUUUUUACAGGAAGAUUAAAACUGGUAUUUCAGUGCCAUCCAUCAUAUGUAAUAAACUCUCUGCCUUAGUAUAAAUGCAUUUGUAUGCCACUAUUGUAAACGAGUACAGGAAAUACAAGCAGUCAACUGUGUAUGUUAGACAUACUUUUUGUAAUACUUUCUGUUGCUAACAAAAUAAGUGACUAGCUCUCUUCCAGGGGUACUUUUGCAGGGCUGAAAUCGCAGGCUCUGUGUCACGAAUAAGCACAGUACCCUCUUUGCCCUUUACAUCUCAUAACAAGGUUAGAGCUUCAGCUAUUGUAUGGGUUCUGAAUUGCCUGGCCAGAAAUGUGGACCCAGGGUUCAUCUCAUCCCAAAAUAUUUGGUCACACAACCAAAUGCGUUCUGCUCAUGGGGGCUGUCAAGAUGCCUGGGUGAGAUAAAUGCCUUCUUUUCUGGCGGCUCCUUAAAAAAGGCACUGUCUGUGCCAGCAAGCUUAAAGGUUUUAUAGUUUGUGAAAAGCAGAUCCAGCACUGCCAUGGUGGGCCAUAGGCUCCCAAAAGACAAAGAAUUGAGUCUUGUACUCCCCAGCUCUCUUCUGCUUAAAUAAAGUUGCUAGUUGCCUAA